rnacentral:rRNA from 1 species
AGAGUUUGAUCAUGGCUCAGGAUGAACGCUAGCGGCAGGCCUAACACAUGCAAGUCGAACGGUAACAGAUCUCGCUUGCGAGAUGCUGACGAGUGGCGCACGGGUGCGUAACGCGUAUGCAAUCUACCUUUAACUGAGGAAUAGCCCAGAGAAAUUUGGAUUAAUACCUCAUAGUAUUAUUUAUAGGCAUCUAUUUAUAAUUAAAACUCCGGUGGUUAAAGAUGAGCAUGCGUCCUAUUAGCUAGUUGGUAAGGUAAAAGCUUACCAAGGCUACGAUAGGUAGGGGGCCUGAGAGGGUGACCCCCCACACUGGUACUGAGACACGGACCAGACUCCUACGGGAGGCAGCAGUGAGGAAUAUUGCGCAAUGGAGGAAACUCUGACGCAGCCAUGCCGCGUGCAGGAUGAAUGCCCUAUGGGUUGUAAACUGCUUUUCUGCAAGAAGAAACCUUAGUACGUGUACUAAGCUGACGGUAUUGCAGGAAUAAGCACCGGCUAACUCCGUGCCAGCAGCCGCGGUAAUACGGAGGGUGCAAGCGUUAUCCGGAUUUAUUGGGUUUAAAGGGUCCGCAGGCGGAACUUUAAGUCAGUGGUGAAAGCCUACAGCUUAACUGUAGAACUGCCAUUGAUACUGAAGUUCUUGAGUGUGGUUGAAGUGGGCGGAAUACGUCAUGUAGCG